ACUUACUGGUCUUCAUGGCAAUAAUGAACGUAUUUAGUUUAAUGGAGAUUAUAGGUUACAUUACACUAAAUCAUUGUGUAUCCCUCCGUGGUCCAUUCGAAAGUAGUGCCUAUUUCUAAAGAGUUCCUUUUCUCUUCUUGAAUAUAAGCCAUUUAACAAUGUGAGACAUGUCUUUUGUGGUUAUUUGUAAUAUCCUGUAUGUGUCUGGAGUACUUUGAUGCCUUGGAUUGGAAGCUAACUUAAAAGAUGAACUUUUGAGGGUGUGUUUUCUAUUGUGUGGGGCUUUUGUCGAAAUUAGGAUUCCGAAACGCGUUUUUCUACGGUGGGUUCAUUCGACAGCGAUUUACUUUCUUAGAAGUUGCGAGACGGUAUGUUUUUGAUUGCAAUUAUUGGAAGAUGACAGAUCCAUCUUUAAAAUGAUACCAGGUUAGGAAAAAUUGAUACGUCGGAAAGGCAAGAAAAAUGCUGUGAAAGUUGUCAGUUUUAUAAUGGGACCCUAUGGGAAUCGGAAUUAGUGUAAUAUAACCUUUAAAAAGCACAUUUACUGCAAUGUCAAGGUCACAUGGAUUCGUCUGCAAGCGAGACAAGUAGAAAAUGAAUUUUAAUGAAUGUUUUGAUGAUUUGGGUGCUAAAAUAGAUGAGAGAUGUCAAUAUUUUGGUCCAAAUGGAUGUUUUAGGUGGUUUUGGACUGUUCCGGAUGGGUGGGGGACCUGGUAUGGACAAGUAAGGGUAACAUUUCCAACAAAUCUUAAAUGUAAAUAUUAUUAUGUCCAUAGAUUGAAGUUUCAGGUGGAGAGCAAGAUGAAAAAUAUGCCAAAUUACAUGCAUGCAACCCAUUUAUGCCAUUUUUCUCUCUUGUUUGUAGGCCUGACCGUUUGUCCUUGAGCCGUAGAUGGUCAACAAUCCGCUAGCUGUCUUGCUCUGACUGGUGCACUGGACAUGAUUUCAAUAGUCAGCCAGACCAUGAUUGAGCUUAAGGAUUGUGCUGCGGAUGCAGCCUGUGCAGUUCCGGGAGAAAGUCACUGUCUUGGGCAAUGCGGUCUGGUAUCAGGUCUGGAUGAUCCUUGCCUGUCUGCGGGUUUGUGUACACCUCAAUCCGACUCUGUGUCCUGAACAGAGGCCGCAGUGGUGCAGCGCUUGUGGACGAUCCAUCAACAUCCUGAAAGGUCAACACUACACCAAGCUGGGAAAAUUGAUCCUGAU